GAGAGUAAGAGAGAGAGAGAGAGAGAAGGGUGGGUUAGGCAACUCCACCCAACUUCCUUACACACACACACACACACACACAUAUACACACACACACACUGUCAGUUCCCUCUCUCCCGCCCUCGCCGGCGUGUGUGUGUUUGUACCUGAAACAAUGAAAAAAUGAGGAAAUAAAAAAGAAAAAAGUGAUUACAAUUUACGACUGAAAAAUAAAAAAAGGAAAGAAAAAAUAAAAAUGAUUCAAUAAAAAUAAAAAACUUACACAAUAAUUACUUUGAGAAUAAGAAAAAGAAAUAAAGAGAGGAGGGGGAAAAGAAAAUACAACACACAGCAACAACAACAACAACAACAAGAACCGAGGCAAAAAAAAAUUCACUCGCAAGAAAAAUCAUAAAACAAAACAAAACAAAACAACAAAAACAACACCAAGAAACGAAGGAAAACAAACAUCGCCCGGAAAAUAAAUAAAUAAAUAAAUAAAUAAAAUAAUUCAUAACAAAAUAAAAACCAAAAUAUCAGCGAAAAAAAUAAUAAUAAACAAUAAAUUCUGCGAGUCCGUCCGUCCGUUCGGUGCGAGCUAGUGUGUCGGAGGCGUUUGAGAAGCUAUAGGCACAAUGUCGACGGAAGUUGCCAACCCUCCGAGCAUGAUGGAGCCACUGGAGAUAGAGAUGGACGAUGAUGGUAAGCUGAGGUCAACAUCACCGCCACCACCACCAUCACCACCACUACCAUCACCACACACAGAAUACUAUACUCUCUGAUACCCACAUAGGAAAGUGUGCUCUAUCCUGUCCUAGCAAAGGUUUUAAUUCCACCUCUCCACCUGGUUCCCUGUCUGGUGUUAGUGUGCUCCAUCCUGCCCCAGCAAAGAUUCUAAUUCCACCUCUCCACCUGGUUCCCUGUCUGGUGUUAGUGUGCUCCAUCCUGCCCCAGCAAAGGUUCUAACUCCACCUCUCCACCUGGUUCCCUGUCUGGUGUUUGUGUGGUCCAUCCUGCCCCAACAAAGGCUCUAAUUUCACCUGUCCAUCACUCAUUUUAAAUACAAUGUCAACUUUUCUUUCACAAACACUUACCUGAAUAACUCUCGUGGUGGCAGGCUCCCAGAGUUGCUUCAUGGGUGUAGGGAGGAGUCACUAUGGGCCAGGCUUCCCUCAUCCUAUUAGCUGACUCUCUCUUCUUGCACUCCCAUUCCUCCUGUAAAGAUUGGAAAAGUUAAAAUCUCCUCUCCAUAUAGAUAGACAGGUAGGGAUAGGGUACGUCAUAUUCUUAACCCAAGUACACAUAUUAGAUGGGGCUUUUGUAAGAGUUGUGGGCAUUUCCGAGGGUAGUUUUAUGGCUCUUCUGGGAGUUUCAUCCUUCUCCGGUCCAUAGAUAGAUACAGAUAGAUAGAUAGACAGACAGAUAGAUAGAUAGAUAGAUAGUUUCCUGAUCCUCCUGUUUGCCCCACUUCCCUCCUAUUCCCCUUCCCAUUCUUAGUGUUAGGAGCAGAAAAGUUUAUAGCUCUUUUCCAUAGAUAGACAGAUAGAUAAAUAGAUAGAAAUCGAUUGAUAGAUGGAUAGAUAGUUUUCUGAUUCUCCUCCUUUCCAUGCUUCCCUUUGCCUCACUUCACUCCUCUUGCCAGAAAGGAUUGGAAAAGUUAAAACCUCUUGUCCGUGAAAAUAGAAAGGCUGAGAGAUAGAUUGGUUCAGAGGAAAGUUGCGAUUUGAGGGAGACUGUGCAAGGUUGGUGCUGUCUGGGCUGAGGGAAUGAAUACAGCACCACCAGCAUCAGCAGCCUCAGGAGCCACCAGAGAGUCAAGGCACGAUUCAUAAGUGGACGCGCCCGGUAGUCCCUCCCACCCCUAAUUGGCGCUCGUUGUGCUUGUAACAAAAACACCAGACGUACAUUAGCAAGAUAACGCCUGAAAUGUGAGGACUCUUUUAGGCAAGCCUGCUACAAGACGCUGAACUUGUCUUACUAACCUCAACAACAGAAUUAGAGGGAUGGGGAUCUUUCAUAUGUAGUUAGUUAUGAGAAAGAGUAUUGUGAACUCUUAAAGAAAAGUCAUACAUAGUUAGUUGUAAAAAAGGAAUUGUUUGCUCUUAAAGGAAAAAUAUUGUGAGCUCUUAAAGAAAAGUAAUACAUAAUUAGUUGUAAAAAAGGUAUUGUUUGCUCUUAAAGGAAAAAAUAUUGUGAGCUCUUAAAGAAAAGUAAUACAUAAUUAGUUGUAAAAAAGGAAUUGUUUGCUUUUAAAGGAAAAAAUAUUGUGAGCUCUUAAAGAAAAGUAAUACAUAGUUAGUUGUAAAAAAGGAAUUGUUUGCUCUUAAAGGAAAAAAUAUUGUGAGCUCUUAAAGAAAAGUUAUACGUAAUUAGUUAUAAAAAAAAAAAUAUUGUGAGCCAGUAAAGGCAAAUUUGUGAUGCUAAUAGAUACUGCAAUUAUUUUACUAGCAUCAAGUACAGAAUUAAAGGGUUGUGGAUCUCUCUUAUGUAGUUAGUUAUAUAAAAAAAUACAUUGAGCAAUGAGCAUUAAUUCCAGGUAUGAUAGAGUUGAAGUUACGAGGACAGACGACCAUUGAAUAAGUGUUUGGGGUUGAAAAAUAUUGCAGAAAGCCCUCCCCUUCCCCCCUUUGCUGAACAGGGAAGUGGAUCUCUGAUAAUGCAUGAAACCUGUUGUUAAGAUCCGGGUGCAAACAUUACGAUUACUUCUGACUUCUGGGAAUUACAUUACUGAUAGUUAGUGAUAAGAAAUGUACACACACCUUCUCCUCCCCUCUCAAACACACACACACACACACACAUACCAUUAUCUCAUCCUUGCUCAAGAGUAAGUGGAAAUUUUGUCAGAUAAGUUUAUCAUUGCAUUAGUCUAUCAUGUUAUCACGCUAUCACCAACCACACACACACACAUACACACACACACACACACACACAGCACCAGCAGGGGGUAAGUACAGAAUUAAAAAAAAAAAAGAAAAAAAAAAAGGCUGAUCACUGCAACCGAACUGUCAUUUUUUCUCUUUCCUUAUCAUGAUUAAGCCGCCGAUCAAUAUUUGAAGAGCGGAAGGGAAACGUAUUGGCGGACAACUCUGUGUGUGCUUCAAUUUCUAUCCUGUGUGUGUGCAAACUUUAUCGAUCCUUUUGAGUCUUUGUAUUUAUGUCUUUAUUACAUUUUUGCUUAUUCCUAUUUCUUUAUGUUUCUCUAUUCCAAUUUUGCAUAUUCCUCUUUCUUUAUCUGUCUCUCUAUUCCAUUUUUGCAUAUUCCUCCAGUUCCUUUCAUUUUCCUAUUCAACUUUCUCUCUAUCAAUUUUUCUGUGUCUUUGUAUUCAUUUAUUUAUUCCAUUUUUGCUUAUUCCUCUUUCUUUAUCUGUUUCUCUAUUCCAAUUUUGCAUAUUCCUCCUGUUCCUUUCAUUUUCCUAUUCUCUCUCUCUCUCUCUCUCUCUCUCUCUCUCUCUCUCUCUCUCUCUCUCUCUCUCUCUCUCUCUCUCUCUCUCUCUCUCUCUAUUCAUACUUCAUCUUUGCAUAUUCCUCUUUCUCUAUCCAUCUAUCCACUCUCUAUGUCUCUAUUCAUACACUUCAUCUUUGCUCUCAAGGACAGGACUGAGGGAGAGGGUGUCACAGGGAGACUACCAGUGAAAUAGAUCAAUAGAGUGGACGAAUAUUGGAGAGAGAGAGAG